CGGACGGGUGAGUAACGCGUGAGUAACCUGCCUUACACAAGGGGAUAGCCGUUGGAAACGACGAAUAAUACCCUAUGACAUAAACUCUUCGCAUGAGGAGCUUAUCAAAGAUUUAUCGGUGUAAGAUGGACUCGCGUCUGAUUAGCUAGUUGGUGAGGUAACGGCCCACCAAGGCGACGAUCAGUAGCCGGCUUGAGAGAGUGUACGGCCACAUUGGGACUGAGACACGGCCCAGACUCCUACGGGAGGCAGCAGAC
rnacentral:rRNA from 1 species